GGAAUUUGCUUGGUUGGAGAGAAAUCGCGAGAAAAUGAAAUUUCAUGACUUCAAGUCCGCAUAAAUAGAAUAUCAAUUUGCAAAAUGGAACUUUAAAAAAGAAGUCACCGAAUCAAACUACUCAUAGAGAGCAAAAAAAUUAAAACUUUUCAUUUCCUUUGAUACGCAUACGCUACAGAGGAAGCAACAGAGGACUAAAAAUGAAGAAAAAUGAGAAAUCGGAAGCGGACCUAGAAGCAACGGAUCAUGGCCGAUACGAAACCGAGAGACCCGAUCCGAUGUGUCCGGAAAACUGCUUUUCAGUAGAGUAGAAGAGCAUUUAAUUACAAUCUCUUCCAACUUUGAAAUUGAUGGACCUUAGCUACUCUUGUAGCCUGACCAGGGUUCCGAACUUGUCUAGCAUUGCCCCAGAUCUCGAGUUUUUGUAUUUGAAUGGCUGUCCUAGUUUGGCUGAAAUUCCCUCUCUUCAAAAUCUAAGUAAAUUUGUAGAACUUCAUAUGCGUUGUAGCAAACUCAUACAACCGUGGAGUGGAGGAGAUAAGGUGCGGUUUUUAAAUUUUAGAUACAUUUUAUAAAGUUAAUUUGUAUAUUCUAAUUUAUUGAUAUUUUUCUAUUUAAUUACAGCCUCUUGGAAGUUUGAAAUUGAUGGACCUUAGCUAGUCUUGUAACCUGAUCAGGAUUCCGGACUUGUCAAGUAUUGCCCCAAAUCUUGAGUUUUUAUAUUUGGAUAACUGUAAGAGUUUGGUUGAAAUUCCCUUUUUUGAAAAUCUAAGUAAUCUUGUAGAACUUCAUAUGCGUUAUAGCAAACUCAUGCAACCGUGGAGUAGAGGAAACAAGAUACAACCUCUUGGAAAUUUUAAAUUAAUGAACCUCAGCUACUCUCAAGACCUGAUCAGGAUUCCGGACUUGUCUAGUAUUGCCCCAAAUCUCGAGUUUUUAUAUUUGAAUGGCUGUUAUAGGUUGGCUGAAUUCCCUCUCUUCAAAAUCUAAGUAAUCUUGUUGAACUUCGUAUGAGUUCUAGCCAAGUCAAACAACCGUUUAGUGGAGAUAAGCCUCUUGGAAAGUUGAAAUUAAUGGACCUCAGCUACACUAGUAACCUGAUCGGGAUUCCGGACUUGUCUAGUAUUGCCCCAAAUCUCGAGUUUUUAUAUUUGACUGGAUGUUGGAGUUUGGUUGAAAUUCCCUCUCUUCAAAAUGUAAGUAAUCUUGUUGAACUUCUUAUGCGCAAUAUCAAACCCAUAAAACUAUAGAAUGGAGGAGAUAAGCCUCUUCGAGAUUUGAAAUUAAUGGACCUCAGCUUCUCUCAUCAACUGAUCAGUAUUCCAGACUUGUCUAGUAUUGCCCCAAAUCUCGAGUUUUUACAUUUGAGACGAUGUACGAUUUUGGUUGAAAUUCCGUCUCUUCAAAAUCUGAGCAAGCUUACUGAACUUAAUCUCAGUAAAUGUUCAUGACUCGUGACUAUUCCAAGCAGCUUAGGCGAGUUGAAAUGUCUUGAAAAGUUAUCUCUCUAUAAAUGCUCAAAUUUAGAAAGUCUUCCAGAAAGCAUCAAACAACUUUCGAAGUUGAAAGAGUUUGAUUUAGCCCGUUGCGAGAGUCUUAAAAGUUUACCAGAGCUUCCAUCAUGCUUAGAAUACUUAGAUGCAAGUAAUUGCCCCUCUUUGGAAUCUGCAUCAAUUUCUUUCCAUUUCUUAGAACAUGAAGAUGAAAAUGAAGAAGCAGACAAAAGUGAAGAUGAAAAUGAAGAAGCAAAAAAAAGUGAAUUUCAAGAUUGCAAAUUUCUUGGUUUUAUUGAUUGCGUCAAUUUGAAUAAGAAAGUAAUGGAGGAUGUUUUUAAAGCGCAUCUGUCGGUUCAGAAAGUUAUGUUAUUUAUGGCAGGAGGUGAAGUGCCAGAAUGGAUGAGAUGUAAAAAUAAAAUUGGAUCCUCGCUUUCAUUCAAAAUUGACCUUCGUCACUUAAUUGCCUUCUCUUUCUGCAUUGUUACUCAUUUUAAACAUUAUGGUUAUUUACCUGAAAGAUUUGAAUGUGGAGUGGAUUUCAUAUAUGAGUCUGGAAAUAGGCAGGAACAUAAUAAAUUCACCUUAUUUAACGGUGAGGAUUUUGCCAAUUGGGAUCAUUUUUGUAAAGGUCCGUACUGUUCGGGCUCAUCACACGUGUUGCUUUCAUUCAAUGGAUUGAGGAGGCGUUUUGAUGAAGAGUGUUUGGUUAAGGCCUCGUUUUGCUUCAUCACUCUUGGUCGCGUGUAUGAGCAGCGAAUUAUGGAGUGUGGGGUCCAUCCUAUAUAUAGUAGAAAUAAAAGGAGAAGCACAAAUGAAGAGCAUCAGGAUGACGAGCAACCCCAUCAGCAUCAGGAUGACGAGAAAGGCGAACCUCCUCUUCAAAGAUUGGAACAAAUUGAGGACCAAAAUUACAUUUUGAAUCAUGAGAGGAGGAAAAGGAAGAGGAAGAGGAAGAGGAAAAGGACCAAAAUUGGACAUCAAAAUCCAAUAAUAAGCAUUGAAAAAAAACAUGAGGACGACGACGAAGGCGAACCUGAGGAUAAGGAACACAAUGACUUACUGAAUCCGGAGGAGGAUGAGAACCAAAAUGAUAUUUUGAAUCACGAGAGAACGAAAAGGAAGAGGAAGAGGAAGAGGAAAAGGAGCAAAAUUGGACAUCAAAAUUCAAUAAUAAGCAUUGAAAAAAAAAAACAUGAGGAAGAUGACAAAGGCGAACCUGAGGAUAAGGAAUAUGUUAUUGAAUCGGGAGGAGGAUGAGAACCAAAAUGACAUUUUGAAUCAUGAGAGAACAAAAAGGAAGAGGAAGAGGAAAAGGAAAAGGAAGACAACCUUAAGAGAAGAAGAAUAAAUAAUAAGGAAAAAGAAAAGGAAGAGGCUUCUUCUUCUUCUUCACUCGAUCUAAAUCUCUCUCUAUCUCUUCCUGCUUCCUCUUAACCAAACCCUGCCCACUUUCACAACAGGGUUAACUAAUUUCUAGUUUGCCGUUACUUUUUAGCAUUCUUAAUUGCUUUACUCUUACAAAUAUUUGCAAUCUUUUGCAGCUCUAUCAUCUCCUUAUUUGGUUCUUAACAACCUUCCGCUCUAUACUUGAGAAAGAGAGGGAGGACUAUACAGGAGAAUAAUUAAGCUCAAAUCAGGGGGAAAAACAGGAUGACUGUAAAGAGGCAUGAUCCUCACAUCACAGGACUCGUCAAUAUGUGUUUUGGAUUCUCUUUGCCCCCUCUUUAAGUAUUUGUUAGUGUUGGUGCAUGAUAUUACUACUCGGCUUGGUGGAUUGAACCUGUCGUUUUGGAUUGGACAUGCAGCCCUGACUGCUAGACAAGCUUUAUGUCUUUACGCAUGUAUUGUUCAUAACUGGAACAGUCCUAUCAUGAUUUUUGUUGCUCGUAAUAAGAGUUUCGUAUUAUUUGGUUUGGUGC